GAGAGAUUGACCAAAGUUAUGGUAGACAUGGGGUAUAAAUAAAGCUAAGGAGAUCAUACUUUAUUCAUGAAACAUUUGGCCUCAGGGGAAGUGACAAUAUUGUUGGUUUAUGUGGAUGACAUUAUAGUAACAGGUGAUGACUCAGAGGGAAUAGAGGACUUGAAGAGAUAGUUGGUGAAGGAGUUUAAAAUUAAAGAGUUAGGUAAACUAUAACAUUUUCUAGGUAUUGAAGUAGCUCAUUCUCGGCAAGGGAUUUUUAUAUCACAACAAAUGUGAUAGAAUUAUUGGCUGAAACAGGUAAGAUGGG
rnacentral:misc_RNA from 1 species